UACGAAGGGUGCAAGCGUUGCUCGGAAUCACUGGGCGUAAAGGGUGCGUAGGCGGGUCUUUAAGUCAGGGGUGAAAUCCUGGAGCUCAACUCCAGAACUGCCUUUGAUACUGAAGAUCUUGAGUUCGGGAGAGGUGAGUGGAACUGCGAGUGUAGAGGUGAAAUUCGUAGAUAUUCGCAAGAACACCAGUGGCGAAGGCGGCUCACUGGCCCGAUACUGACGCUGAGGCACGAAAGCGUGGGGAGCAAACAGG
rnacentral:rRNA from 1 species